rnacentral:rRNA from 1 species
CAGCCGCCGCGGUAAUACGAAGGGGGCUAGCGUUGCUCGGAAUCACUGGGCGUAAAGGGUGCGUAGGCGGGUUUUUAAGUCAGAGGUGAAAUCCUGGAGCUCAACUCCAGAACUGCCUUUGAUACUGAAAGUCUUGAGUAUGGGAGAGGUGAGUGGAACUGCGAGUGUAGAGGUGAAAUUCGUAGAUAUUCGCAAGAACACCAGUGGCGAAGGCGGCUCACUGGCCCAUAACUGACGCUGAGGCACGAAAGCGUGGGGAGCAAACAGGAUUAGAGACCCCCGUAGUCCCUGUCUCUUAUAC